rnacentral:rRNA from 1 species
UACGUAGGGUGCGAGCGUUAAUCGGAAUUACUGGGCGUAAAGCGUGCGCAGGCGGUCAUGCGAGACAGAUGUGAAAUCCCUGGGCUCAACCUGGGAACUGCAUAUGUGACUGUAUGGCUGGAGUACGGCAGAGGGGGAUGGAAUUCCGCGUGUAGCAGUGAAAUGCGUAGAUAUGCGGAUGAACACCGAUGGCGAAGGCAAUCCCCUGGGCCUGUACUGACGCUCAAGCACGAAAGCGUGGGGAGCAAACAGG